rnacentral:rRNA from 1 species
AGGAUGAACGCUGGCGGUGUGCCUAAUACAUGCAAGUCGAACGAAGCCUUCGGGCUUAGUGGCGGACGGGUGAGUAACACGUUGGUACCUACCCCGAAGUGGGGAAUAACUGCCCGAAAGGGUGGCUAAUACCGCAUAAUACCGCAAGGUUAAAGCGAGUAAUCGCGCUUCGGGAGGGGCCUGCGUCCCAUUAGCUAGUUGGUAGGGUAAUGGCCUACCAAGGCGACGAUGGGUAGCUGGAUCGAGAGGUUGACCAGCCACACUGGGACUGAGAUACGGCCCAGACUCCUACGGGAGGCAGCAGUAAGGAAUCUUCCACAAUGGACGAAAGUCUGAUGGAGCAACACCGCGUGCAGGAUGACGGCCUUCGGGUUGUAAACUGCUUUUAUAUGGGAAGAUUAUGACGGUACCAUAUGAAUAAGGACCGGCUAACUACGCGCCAGCAGCCGC